rnacentral:sRNA from 1 species
UACACUUGUGCCGAUAUUUUGAUACCUUU